AGAGUUUGAUCCUGGCUCAGGACGAACGCUGGCGGCGUGCCUAAUACAUGCAAGUCGAACGCAUUUUCUUUCACCGUAGCUUGCUACACCGAAAGAAAAUGAGUGGCGAACGGGUGAGUAACACGUGGGCAACCUGCCCAUCAGCGGGGGAUAACACUUGGAAACAGGUGCUAAUACCGCAUAAUUCCAUUUACCGCAUGGUAGAUGGGUGAAAGGCGCUUUUGCGUCACUGAUGGAUGGACCCGCGGUGCAUUAGCUAGUUGGUGGGGUAACGGCCUACCAAGGCUGCGAUGCAUAGCCGACCUGAGAGGGUGAUCGGCCACACUGGGACUGAGACACGGCCCAGACUCCUACGGGAGGCAGCAGUAGGGAAUCUUCGGCAAUGGACGCAAGUCUGACCGAGCAACGCCGCGUGAGUGAAGAAGGUUUUCGGAUCGUAAAACUCUGUUGUUAGAGAAGAACAAGGAUGAGAGUGGAAAGUUCAUCCCUUGACGGUAUCUAACCAGAA
rnacentral:rRNA from 1 species